rnacentral:lncRNA from 1 species
AAAAUGAUUUUUCUCUAGUUUUCUGAGGCAGAGUUCUCUGUACUUCAAUCAUAUCAAGCUUGUUAUGUGUGUAUUCAAAUUUCUGUAUCUUACUAAUUUUCAUCUGCUUGUCUUAAAAUUGAGAAAGAUACAUUGAAAAUUUGUAUCAUGAUGGUGGGUCUAUCAAUGUGCCCAUUUAGUUCCAUCAUAUAUUUAUAUAUACAUAAAUAUUUUUACAUAAAAUAUUUUACAUAUGUAAAUAUUUAUUUACAUAAAUAUUUUAUUAGAUACAUAUAAUUUUAUAAUUAUUAUGUCUUCCUGGUAAGUUGAACCUAUAAUAUAAGCAUUUGACAGUAAUUUACUUUAUCACUAAUCAUACUCUUUAUCUACUUUAAAGAGAUAAUUUAUAAUUAUUAUAAUUUGUCUCAUAACUCAGCUUUCUCUUGGUUAGUACUUGCCUGUUAUGCCUGUUUCCAUCAUUUUUCUCUUAAUAUUCUCAGUCUUAUGGCUUUAAAUGUGUCUUUUAAAUAUCAGAGAGUUGAAUUUGAAAAUUUUAUCUGCUAGUUUCUGUCUUAUAAUUGAUAGCCAUUUCCAUUUUAAUUAAUUGUGAUUACAAAUGUAUUUGAACCGAUUUCUAUUGUCUCAUUUUAUGCUGUCUAUCUUUUUCUGUUUUCUCUCUGCUUUUUUUUUUUUUUUUUGUGGAGAGGAACACCGUGAACUACACUCAUGCACCCCUCGGCCCUCUUUCGAUCUUCUUGGCAGAAAUCUCUGUUUCCAUCUUCUGCCCAGGUUUUCAUUGGCUUGUUGUUGUUUUUUUUUUCUUUUUUUGUUAGUUCUUUCAGAUUCCAGACAAUAAUGUCACCUGCAAGCAAAAACAGUUUUAUUUCUUCUAUUCCAAUCUGUAUGCAUUUUAUUUCCUUUUCUUAUCUUAGGUAGGGCUUUAAGUAUGAUGUUGAAAAUGAGUAGUGAGAGGGGACAUCCUUUCCUUGUUCCCAGUCUUGGAGGGAAACUUUCUAGUUUCUCACUAUUAAGAAUGAUGUUGGGUCAAGAUGGCAGCAUGGGCAGACUCUGAAGUCACUCUCUCCCAUGGACACAACAAAUUUACAACUACUCUUAGAUCAAUUACCCCUGAGAGAGAACUGAAAACAGGAUAAAAAGAACUCAAACAAUAAGGGAUGAGGCUGACUGAGAGGGAAGAGGCAGAAAUUCCUUUCUGGAGAGAGAAAAAAAGCAAUCUUAGAGUCACAGAGCUUCAUGGCCAGCCAAGAGCAAUCCUAAGGUAUGAAACCCUCUCAGAAGGAGUGGCAGAUUUUAGUUGGGGAGCAUUGCCACAAUAAGCAGCUUUUAGACUCAGCACUACUGAGACAAGGGUCAUAAUAUCUGGUUUUGCUGCCUAUUGACUACAAUGGGGAAUACCCCCAGAAAAACUGUUGGACAUAAGGGGAAAAACAGCCUGCUCUUAAAGGGCCCAUGCACAAAUUCAUCCAUUUCAGAAAGCAAUAUAAAACCACCAGAAAGAAAGGUGCACAGUCAUUUGGUGAAAAUAGACUCACUUGAUAGGCUCUGUGCACAUCUUGGUGAGAAGUGAGACCUCUCCAGGGAUUGAGGAAUUUGCAGCAGCCUUUAUUUUGACCCAGUACAGGUGUUCUGACACAGACACUAGCAGAUGCCAUUAGGGUUUCUCCCCUGGGCUGUUAGGCUAGGGUGUGUCCCACCUACUAGAGUACCCAUUUAACCCAGCUCAGCCAGAGUACAUAGCCCAUUCUAGGGACUGGUCCCACACAAGAGCAAGCCCUUGGGCAACUUGUGGGCCCACAUAUGUAGGGUGACUGUAACCUCUAUAGCUGGGAAAGUGG